rnacentral:lncRNA from 1 species
CUCCCACAGCUUCAGCUUUAAAGGUCGUGUUUUAUCAAGAUAUCAUUUUGAGAUGACUUUUUUAUUAUUCUCAGUGGCACUAACAGCACGCAGUGGCUGAUCUUUCUUCAGAAACAGUAAAGGAAGAUUUCGAUGGACAUGUAAUUAGAGGUGAAUGGAGUCUUCAGAGGUACGGCAACCACGAAAGCCAGCGGCAAAGUCAAAGUGUUUGUCUAAUUUCGCAAUCUGCUGUUCCAGUGAAUGAAACCAUGUGGUCAGCUGCACACAGAGGAGAAGAAAGUAGGAAAAGAGAAGCAAAAAACAAAACAAAACAAAAAAAUUUGCCUUUAAAUAAAGAAAAAGUGGGUUGUGUGGCGCGCACAACAAAGCUCUGAGAUCAAAAGGAACGUGUUUCAAAAUAUUUUUGGUUGGGGUGCCAGAGAGCAUGUUGGAAGAUAAAUGCCAGCAAGGAAUCCGUUCUUCUCAUACAGAGGAAAAGAAAAUCUAAAGGUGAAAAGCUUUGUUUUAAAGUGCUUGAGAUGCUUAAUCAUUAGCAGAAUAAUUGUGAGAGCUGGAAAGCUACAGAAAAAUACAUGAAGGUGAACUGAAGAACUUUUUGUGUGCCAUGACAGUGGUGUAAAAAUUUGAGUAUUUUUUAAUGUAAGUCAUCCACAUCUGCAGAACUGCAGAACUGCAGGAAACAUCCCGCAGCUCUUACACCAGACAAGAUGAUCCCCAAUGGGGUUUGUGAGCUGGUUCACCACAGGCUCAUACAAUGGAUUUCUUGAAGUUCACGGACUGGAAAUAUGGAGAAACACCUGCUUGCUGCAGAAAGCUGAAGAGGAUCUGCAUGUUGAAGAGAACCUGCAGGAAUUGAAGCAGCUAUGAUUACAUCCGUGCAAGUUUGGUGAUAACAGCUGACACAUCCAUUUCUGAUCACAACUUCUGUGGGCAGCCUGCCUCUCACUCUCUAGCUGGUAAGGAAAAAUAAGGGUUCUUCACAAAAGAUAAAACUGCAUCAGCUUGCACUCACCUAGAGAGAUGCUGAGCUCUGAGCCAGGUGAGCUUAAUGCUAGGAUUGAAGUCACACAGUGUUAAGCUGAAAGUUGCAAACACAUUUUUAGGUAUAUUAGGAUCAGGUAGUUACAAGGCUCUUAAAAUAAAUUCCUUAAGUUCUGCUUAUAUGGUAAAAUG